rnacentral:rRNA from 1 species
AUUGAACGCUGGCGGCAUGCCUUACACAUGCAAGUCGAACGGCAGCACGGGUGCUUGCACCUGGUGGCGAGUGGCGAACGGGUGAGUAAUACAUCGGAACAUGUCCUGUAGUGGGGGAUAGCCCGGCGAAAGCCGGAUUAAUACCGCAUACGAUCUACGGAUGAAAACGGGGGACCUUCGGGCCUCGCGCUAUAGGGUUGGCCGAUAGCUGAUUAGCUAGUUGGUGGGGUAAAGGCCUACCAAGGCGACGAUCAGUAGCUGGUCUGAGAGGACGACCAGCCACACUGGGACUGAGACACGGCCCAGACUCCUACGGGAGGCAGCAGUGGGGAAUUUUGGACAAUGGGCGAAAGCCUGAUCCAGCAAUGCCGCGUGUGUGAAGAAGGCCUUCGGGUUGUAAAGCACUUUUGUCCGGAAAGAAAUCCUUGGCUCUAAUACAGUCGGGGGAUGACGGUACCGGAAGAAUAAGCACCGGCUAACUACGUG